rnacentral:rRNA from 1 species
AUUGAACGCUGGCGGCAGGCCUAACACAUGCAAGUCGAACGAGUGGCGGACGGGUGAGUAAUGUCUGGGAAACUGCCUGAUGGAGGGGGAUACCUACUGGAAACGGUAGCUAAUGCCGCAUACCAUCAGAUGUGCCCAGAUGGGAUUAGCUAGUUGGUGGGGUAACGGCGCACCAAGGCGACGAUCCCUAGCGGGUCUGAGAGGAUGACCAGCCACACUGUAACUUAGACACGGUCCAGACUCCCACGGGAGGCAGCAGUGGGGAAUAUUGCACAAUGGGCGCAAGCCUGAUGCAGCCAUGCCGCGGGUCUGAAGAAGGCCUUCGGGUUGUAAAGUACUUGCAGCGGGGAGGCGUUACCCGCAGAAGAAGCACCGGCUAACUCCGUGCCAGCAGCCGCGGUAAUUC